AGCAGCCGCGGUAAUUCCAGCUCCAAUAGCGUAUAUUAAAGUUGUUGCAGUUAAAAAGCUCGUAGUUGAAUUUCGGGAUCAGUAUGUUGGUCGUGCUUCGGUACGUACUGUCAUUACUGGUUUCUACCUUCUGAAGAACCUUGAUGUCAUUAAUUUGGUGUCUUGGGGAAUCAGGACUGUUACUUUAGAAAAAAUUAGAGUGUUUAAAGCAAGCAUACGCUUGAAUACAUUAGCAUGGAAUAAUGAAAUAGGACGUUUGAUUCUAUUUUGUUGGUUUCUAGGAUCGACGUAAUGAUUAAUAGGGAUAGUUGGGGGCAUUAGUAUUCAAUUGUCAGAGGUGAAAUUCUUGGAUUUAUUGAAGACUAACUACUGCGAAAGCAUUUGCCAAGGAUGUUUUCAUUAAUCAAGAACGAAAGUUAGGGGAUCGAAGACGAUCAGAUACCGUCGUAGUCUUAACCAUAAACUAUGCCGAC
rnacentral:rRNA from 1 species